GACGAACGCUGGCGGCGUGCUUAACACAUGCAAGUCGAACGGAAAGGCCCUGCUUUUGUGGGGUGCUCGAGUGGCGAACGGGUGAGUAACACGUGAGUAACCUGCCCUUGACUUUGGGAUAACUUCAGGAAACUGGGGCUAAUACCGGAUAGGAGCUCCUGCUGCAUGGUGGGGGUUGGAAAGUUUCGGCGGUUGGGGAUGGACUCGCGGCUUAUCAGCUUGUUGGUGGGGUAGUGGCUUACCAAGGCUUUGACGGGUAGCCGGCCUGGGAGGGUGACCGGCCACAUUGGGACUGGGGUACGGCCCAGACUCCUACGGGAGGCAGCAGUGGGGAAUAUUGCACAAUGGGCGGAAGCCUGAUGCAGCAACGCCGCGUGCGGGAUGACGGCCUUCGGGUUGUAAACCGCUUUCGCCUGUGACGAAGCGUGAGUGACGGUAAUGGGUAAAGAAGCACCGGCUAACUACGUG
rnacentral:rRNA from 1 species